rnacentral:rRNA from 1 species
GACGAACGCUGGCGGCGUGCUUAACACAUGCAAGUCGAACGGAAAGGCCCUGCUUUUGUGGGGUGCUCGAGUGGCGAACGGGUGAGUAACACGUGAGUAACCUGCCCUUGACUUUGGGAUAACUUCAGGAAACUGGGGCUAAUACCGGAUAGGAGCUCCUGCUGCAUGGUGGGGGUUGGAAAGUUUCGGCGGUUGGGGAUGGACUCGCGGCUUAUCAGCUUGUUGGUGGGGUAGUGGCUUACCAAGGCUUUGACGGGUAGCCGGCCUGAGAGGGUGACCGGCCACAUUGGGACUGAGAUACGGCCCAGACGCCUACGGGAGGCAGCAGUGGGGAAUAUUGCACAAUGGGCGGAAGCCUGAUGCAGCAACGCCGCGUGCGGGAUGACGGCCUUCGGGUUGUAAACCGCCUUCGCCUGUGACGAAGCGUGAGUGGCGGUAAUGGGUAAAGAAGCACCGGCUAACUACGUG